rnacentral:rRNA from 1 species
CCUACGGGUGGCAGCAGUGGGGAAUAUUGGACAAUGGGCGAAAGCCUGAUCCAGCCAUGCCGCGUGUGUGAAGAAGGCCUUCGGGUUGUAAAGCACUUUCAGUGGGGAAGAAAGCCUUGGGGCUAAUACCCUCGAGGAAGGACAUCACCCACAGAAGAAGCACCGGCUAACUCCGUGCCAGCAGCCGCGGUAAUACGGAGGGUGCGAGCGUUAAUCGGAAUUACUGGGCGUAAAGCGCGCGUAGGCGGUCUGAUAAGCCGGUUGUGAAAGCCCCGGGCUCAACCUGGGAACGGCAUCCGGAACUGUCAGGCUAGAGUGCAGGAGAGGAAGGUAGAAUUCCCGGUGUAGCGGUGAAAUGCGUAGAGAUCGGGAGGAAUACCAGUGGCGAAGGCGGCCUUCUGGACUGACACUGACGCUGAGGUGCGAAAGCGUGGGUGGCAAACAGGAUUAGAUACCCCAGUAGUC